rnacentral:lncRNA from 1 species
GGCCGGACGACUUCUUUGACCUCAUACGGGCCUUCCCAGUUUGGGGCGAGUUUUCCUCGAUCCUGAGGUUGCGAGACAGCGGCUCGUCGAAGCACUAGAUCUCCUGCUUUAAAGACUUUGUUCUUGACCCGGGCGUUGUAAUACCGAGCGACUUUCUGUCUGUAGGCUGCCAUUCGAACUUGGGCUAUCUCCCGUCUUUCCUCCAGCAGGUCGAGGUUGGCUUUAAGACUU